rnacentral:rRNA from 1 species
UACAGAGGUCUCAAGCGUUUGUUCGGAUUCAUUGGGCGUAAAGGGUGCGUAGGCGGCGCGGUAAGUCGGGUGUGAAAUCUCGGAGCUUAACUCCGAAACUGCAUUCGAUACUGCCGUGCUUGAGGACUGGAGAGGAGACUGGAAUUUACGGUGUAGCGGUGAAAUGCGUAGAUAUCGUAAGGAAGACCAGUGGCGAAGGCGGGUCUCUGGACAGUUCCUGACGCUGAGGUGCGAAAGCCAGGGGAGCGAACGGG